AUACGUAGGGUGCGAGCGUUGUCCGGAAUUACUGGGCGUAAAGAGCUCGUAGGUGGUUUGUCGCGUCGUCUGUGAAAUUCCGGGGCUUAACUCCGGGCGUGCAGGCGAUACGGGCAUAACUUGAGUACUGUAGGGGAGACUGGAAUUCCUGGUGUAGCGGUGAAAUGCGCAGAUAUCAGGAGGAACACCGGUGGCGAAGGCGGGUUUCUGGGCAGUAACUGACGCUGAGGAGCUAAAGCAUGGGUAGCGAACAGGAUUAGAUACCCUGGUAGUCCAUGCCGUAAACGGUGGGCGCUAGGUGUAGGGGUCUUCCACGACUUCUGUGCCGUAGCUAACGCAUUAAGCGCCCCGCCUGGGGAGUACGGCCGCAAGGCUAAAACUCAAAUGAAUUGACGGGG
rnacentral:rRNA from 1 species